GCCAGCAGCCAUAUCACCCUGCAACUCACAACUGGCAACCUACUGAAGCUAAGCAGGUGUGAGCCUGGUCAGUACCUGCAUAAGAGACCUCCUGGGAAAAACUAAGGUUGCUGCUGGAA
ensembl:rRNA 5S_rRNA 5S ribosomal RNA